CAUGAACUUAGCUUGCUAAGUUUGAUGGCGACCGGCGCACGGGUGAGUAACACGUAUCCAACCUGCCGAUAACUCGGGGAUAGCCUUUCGAAAGAAAGAUUAAUACCUGAUGGUAUGAUGAGAUUGCAUGAUAGCAUCAUUAAAGAUUUAUCGGUGUACGAUGGGGAUGCGUUCCAUUAGGUAGUAGGCGGGGUAACGGCCCACCAAGACUACGAUGGAUAGGGGUUCUGAGAGGAAGGUCCCCACAUUGGAACUGAGACACGGUCCAAACUCC
rnacentral:rRNA from 1 species